CCAUUAUUCCAUUGUUAUAAUCAGUUUCCGGUCUUGGUAAAGAAAGUGAAGUUUCUGUGAACACGAAGAUUUAAAUACAAAUUGACGAGAAGAAAUAACAGAAGGGAAGGAGAAAGUAAAAUUUCAAAUGAUGAUCUAGGCGGCUUCCGGAACGCACUGUGACUUCUCGAACGAUCGUAAAGGAGGUCUAAGGAGAGAAAGAAAGAGAGAGAGAGAGAAAGAGAGAGAGAGAAAGAGAGAGAGACAUAGACAGACAGAAAGCACGUAUCUAAAAUGGAAACGGGCAGAACGUUCCCGGACGAGCUGGAGACGAAAGUGGAGGAGGUUUAUCGUUUCUCGGUAGAAGAUAAAGAAAGAAAAAAGAGAAGGGAAUCGCGGGGGUCAACCGGAAGACGGCGCCCAUAUCGUCUCGAGGCUUCAUUAAGGAUGCAAUAUGGCGGACUUUUUGUCGGGUAAACGAAGGGAGCGGAAUACGCGUGAGAGAGCGGUCGGCCGCUUUUAAAAAAGUUACGACGAGGUUUAUGGGGGUUUAAUUGUAGCCCGUGACUGUGGUUAGAAAGUAGUAAAACUCCUUUUGCCAGAAGACUCCGGCCUGUUACUAUGCUACUUAACGCUCAGCCGACUCUUACUUGGGACGUAUGGAGAAAGAGAAGAAUGACGACGAACAGGACGACUAGGGCGACGAUGAUGAUGAAGCGAAAGAAAAAGAAGAAAAGGAGAGGUGAACGAAGAAGAAGAACAAGGAGGAGGAGAAGGAGAAGAAGAAAAAUAAAUAACAGCGGCGGCUCACGCACUUCGGUGCUGCUAAUUAUUGCUUUGUCUCGAAAAUUGCACCCUCAUCUUCGUGAAAUAAGGCCGACGUUCGCCAUCAAGGUCAUAGAUAUUGUCUUUACCCUCUUCCUAUUUCCAGUUUUCUUUUUAUCUUUUUCUUUUUCCUCAUCUU